UAAAAAUUAGUUUUGUCACAUCCCGACUCUUAAAGUUUUACCCUAAUUAGUUGCAUGAUAUUAAUAAAUUUUUUUACCGUCUUUGUUAAUGAAUUUAUAGUUUCAAAGAACCCUAGAGUUGUUUUGAGGAACGUUUAUUUCAAUGAAUUUAUUACGUAGGAGGAUUUGUUGAAAGCAGUAAAAAAGGUAAUUUUAGUUAGUAAAAAUAUAAUUUUUAUUAGAGUAUGUUUUUAGAGUGUUUUUGGAGUUUGAGUUUUUAAGUUGCAGUGGAUUGGUGAACCAGUUUGAGAAAAGCCCAAACACUUCUCUCUUCUCUCUCUCCUCCCUCCCGACUCUCUCUCUCCCUGCUGGAAAGUCUCCGCCCCUGUCCGACGCCGUCCGGCCGAACUGGGCCGCCGCACCGGUCCCGUUUGGACCGCCGUCACCUCCUUUCUCUUCCUGGGUUGGUGGCAGCGCCUCUCUCGCCGCCGAUCGAUAGAUAUCACGGCAAGAAGCUCAACCACUCUCUCGCCGGAACUCCCUCUACGGCCGCCAUAGCCGCCGAUUCUUGUCUCAUCUUCAAGCCCUCAUCUUGUGUAGCAAAACCUCAAAAGGAAUCGAUCCCAUUCGUGCUAGAUAGGUAGGUUCGACGGUUUGAAUACCUAGGGCUUGAAUUUGGGAUUUUUACUGUUUUAAGUCGAUUACCCUAUCUAGGCUAGGAAUUGGUGUUUGUGGUAGUUAUGAAAGUUGUUUAGAUUGUUGAGAGGAUGAUUGUGCUAAAAUUUGGUGGGCACUGGAGGUGAUCGGAAAAAGGCAGCCGGCCGCCGCUGCCGGCGGAGCAGACGGCGGCGACGCCUCUUUUAGGUAGUUUUUCAGGUUAAUAAGUUUAUUAUGUUGAGAGGAGUUUAAUGAUGUGUAGUUCGUAAUUUUUGGAGGAGUUUUGGAUAGGAAUGGGAUUUUUCAAAGAUUGAUGAACUUAGCGGUUAAUAGGGUAGAAUCCGGCAGUUGGAUUAAUAUUUUUUAAACUGUAAAAAUUUAUUAUAAGGCUGCCGGUGCUUGUGGUGAAGUUCGGGCCUUAUCGAAUUAAGGAUAGCGAAGUGGGGCAAGGAUGAGCAUGUAUAAGGCUCACUUUUAAUUUUGCCUAUUUUAUAAGUGUCGAAUUUUGGAGAAACUUUUAUAGCAGAUAUGCAUGAGAGAUGGGGCGUCAACAACUAGUGUAGGUACUUGGCAUUAUUUAUAUAGACCAGGUGCAAGGUUGUUAGGACUUAAAUUAGGUUCUCCUGGGAACAUGUUACCAGAUUUUGUAAUAAGCAGGCUUUAUUUUUGGUAAAUACUUGGGAUCACAAUAGUAGGAAGUUUUAGGAGUAGACUUGGGUGUAUUGAGGAUAGUUUGAGGUUUUAGAAUCUAGUGCAGUAUGAGAAGAUGAAAUGCAUUUUCGUGCAUUAUGUUCGACAGUGUAAUCAUUUGGCUGAGUUGAGAGAUUUACAAUUUUCAAGUUUUCUUUGGUAGGUAAUAUAUAGCUAUAGGUAGAGAAGUUUUUGAGAUAUUUUCGAGAAUUGAGAUUAUUUUGAGCAAGUGAUUCAUAGGAGGGAAUUGUGGAAGGAAGAAAGUCUAUACUUGGAGAGUUGAGAUCAGAUAUGGAAUGCAAGCAGUUAAUUGUAGCAUAUUUAGAUUCAAGGUUUUGGAAACUAGAGUUAUUCAAGUACAAGUCAUAAUUUUUAGAUUCAAGGUUUUAUAAAUUUCGGGGACAAAAUUUCUCUAAGGAGUAAAGUAUGUUGUUAAGCCAUAUGAUAGCUUUGUGUUUAAAAUUAAAUGUGUGCUUAUGGAUAGGAUUGUGAGUUGUAUUCGGAUAUCUUUUUCUAUGCUAAAGUACAUACUAUUGUUACAUGAAGCAUAAAGUACAUACUAUUGUUUACAUGAGUUAGGCUUUACUAGGCUUUGUUGCUUAAGAUAGUUUAUGUAAGAUUAGCAAUUGUUCUCUGGUGAUCAAGUGAUAGAUGUGCAAAUUAGGAUUAUGAUCAAGUUAUUUGCAUAAUAUUUUGGUAAUGGAAAGUAGACUCGGAGGUUCUAGGUCAUUGUUGAUGUUGUGGAAUAGAUCAAAAUGUACAUACUAUGAGAAGUAGUUUCGGCAGAUCACUUGGAGUACUAAACUUGUUAUGGAGAAUUGUUGUUUUGAAGAGAUAUUUAAUAGUUUUGGAGAAACUUUUAUAGCAGAGAUGCAUGAGAGGAGAUGGGGCUUCAACAACUAGUAUGUAAGUACUUAGGGAUUAUUUAUAAAGACCAGGUGCAAGGUUAUUAGGAGUUAAAUUAAGGUUCUCCUAGCAACAUGUUACCAUAUUUUGUGAUAAGCAGGGUUUAUUUUUGGUAAAUACUUGGGAUCACAAUAGUAAGAAGUUUGAGGAGUAGGAUUGGGCGUAUUGAGGAUAGUUUGAGAUUCUUGACUCUAGUGCAGUAUGAGAAGAUGAAAUGCAUUUUCAUGCAUUAUGUUAGACAGAAAUCAUUUGGCUGAAUUGAGAGAUUUACAAUUUUCAAGUUCUCUUUGGUAGGUAAUAGGUAUAGAAGUUUUUGAGAUAUUUUAGAGGAUUGAGAUUAUUUUGAGCAAGUGAUUCAUAGGAGAGAAUUAUGGAAGGAAGAAAGUCUAUGCUAGGAGAGUUGAGAUCAGAUAUGGAAUGCAAGCGGUUAAUUUUAGCAUAUUUGGACAGAGUAAGAGUUAUUUAAGUCAUGAAUCCCUCAUCUACGGUUAGUGGAAAUAGACAAGUGAAUGAUGUUGUCCGAAUAUCGCAAUUGAGGAUUUGGAAACUAGAGAUGUGUGGUUGGCUGAAUUCAAGUACAAGUCAUAAUUUUUAGAUUUAAGGUUUUUUAAAUUUCGGGGACAAAAUUUCUCUUAGGAGUAGAGAGAAGAAAGUAAGUGAGGAUUAGGAGUACGAAAGAAGUAAGAAAACAAAGGGGAGACUAAAGAAGAAACAGAAUUAGGAUUAGAAAUAGAAAGAGGAAGGAGAAACAUGAGACGUGAGACUUGAGAGAGUUAUCUGAAAAUGAAGAAGGAAGUAGCAGAUUAGUUCUGUCCAUUUUGUGUCAGGAUUCAAAGGUGAAUUCAAUCCUAUUAGCUAUUUUGAUUUACAUUCUUGCUGUUAUGUUUAGCGAAAUUCUUUUCUAAGGGCUUAAGCUUAUGCACAGUUAAUGAUUUCAAUGUUUGUUAAAACAGAAUUUAAGCAUAAGAACAUGUUGAGAUGCUUAGCAACAUUAUCCUGCAAAUUUAGGUGUCCUUAGUAGUUCUUAGUAACUGUUUGGAUUAGAAUUCUUAUUCUGUUUUAACAACAGGAUAUCAGGAAGCUAUGUGCAGCAUGUAUUUAGUAAUCUGAGAGUAAGUAGCAACCUCAGAUUAUAGCUUGUAGGCAUUGGAGAAAGCUAGAACAAGUGUAUACUUGGUUGUAAUCCUUUAAUUAAUUUUGAGCAGCUAUAUCUUUUUAUUUAGACCUUCAUUUCAGAUUCUAUUUGCAUGUAUUGAAAGCUUAUAAUUUACUCUAAAUAUCUGUGUAGUUUCAUGCAAUUUCGUUUAGAAUUCGUUGGUCAAGUUUGAAGUUGAAAAUAUAGUUGUACAUUCUGCAAAUCAGCUUUCAUGAGUUUUGGUGUCAGUCACUUUGUUUCAAAAGCUGUAUAUUUGGAUUGGUUAUUUGAAGUUGGUUUCUUCAUAAAAGUUGUAGCAUACAUCUUAAAUAUUGUUCCAGAAUUUGAUUCACUUUAAUAGUAUUAUUUAUACAGACCAGGUGCAAGGUUAUUAGGUGUUAUAUUAGGUUCUCCUAGGAACAUGUGACUAGAUUUUGUGAUAAGCAGGCUUUAUUUUUGGUAAAUACGUGGGAUCAGAAUAGUAGGAUGUUUGAGGGCUAGGCUUCGGCGUUUGAGGAUAGUUUUAGAAUCUGGUGCAUUAUUUGAAGAUGAAAUGCAUUUUUGUGCAUUAUGUUCGACAGUAAUUAUUUGGGUGAGUUGAGAGAUUUACAAUUUUCAUGUUUUCUUUGGUAGGUAAUAUGUGGCUAUAGGUACAGAAGUUUUUGAGAUAUUUUCGAGGGUUGAGAUUAUUUUGAGCAAGUGAUUCAUAGGAGGGAAUUGUGGAAGGAAGAAAGUCCAUACUUGGAGUGUUGAGAUCAGAUACGGAAUGCAUGGAGUUAAUUUUUGCAUAUUUGGACAAAACUAAGAGUUAUUUAUGUCAUGAAUCCCUUAUCUACGGUUAGUGGAAAUAGACAAGUGAUUGGUGUUAAUUCGAUUGAUUUGCUAUGUGAUCUUUAUAUAAAGCAUAAAUUACAUACUAUUGUUUACAUGAGUUAGGCUGUAUUAGGCUUUGUUGCUUAAGAUAGUUUCUGUAAGAUUAGCAAUUGUUCUCUGGUGAUCAAGUGAAUGAUGUGCAAAUUUGGAUUAUGGUGAAGUUAUUUGCAUAAGAUUUUGGUAAUGGAAAGUAGACUCGGAGGUUCUAUGUCAUUGUUGAUGUUGUAGAAUAGAUCAAAAUGUACAUACUUUGAGAAGUAGUUUCGGCAUAUCACUUACUAAACUAGGUAUGGAGAAUUGUUGAAGAGACAUUUAAUUGUUUUGGAGAAACUUUUUUAGCAGAGACAUGCAUGAGAGUUGGGGCUUCCACAACUACUCUGUAUGUACUCGGGGAUUAUUUACGCAGACCAGGUGGAAGGUUAUUAGUAGUUAAAUUAGGUUCUCCUAGGAACAUGUUACCGGAUAUUGUGAUAAGCAGGCUUUAUUUUUGGUAAAUACAUAGGGGUCACAGAAGUAGGAAGUUUGAGGAGUAGGCUUGGGCGUAUUGAGGAUAGUUUGGGGUUCUAGAAUCUGGUGCAGUAUGAGAAGAUGAAAUGCAAUUUCGUGCAUUAUGUUUGACAGUAAUCAUUUGGCUGAGUUGAGAGAUUUACAAUUUUGAAGUUUUCUUUGGUAGGUAAUAUAUAGCUAUAGGUACAUAUGAUUUUGAGAUAUUUUCGACGAUUGAGAUUAUUUUGAGGAAGUAAUUCAUAGGACGGAAUUGUGGAAGGAAGAAAGUCUAUACUUGGAGAGUUGAGAUCAGAUAUGGAAUGCAAGCAGUUAAUUUAGCAUAUUUGGUUAUUUAAGUCAUGAAUCCCUCAUCUACGGUUAGUGGAAAUAGACAAGUGAAUGGUGUUGUCCGAAUAUCGCCGGUGAGGAUUUUGGAAACUAGAGAUGUGUGGAUGGCUGUAUUCAAGUACAAGUCAUAAUUUUUAGAUUUAAGGUUUCAUAAAUUUCGGGAACGAAAUUUCUCUAAGGAGGAUGGAGUGUGACAACCCGGAAUUUUAAUAUAUAUACCUUUGUAAUUAUAAAGUUGCUUAUAUAUUAUAAAUAUCUUCGUUUAGUGUUAUAUAUAUACAUGCUGAAAUCUAAUAUAGUUACAUAGUUUCUUUUGCUUUUCCAAGAACAAAACUACUAUAAAUAGAAGCUGUGUACUAGUUUCUUAUACACAUGCGGUAUUGACAAAGGAUUAGAGAGAAAAAAGUAAGUGAGGAUUAGGAAAAUGAAAGAAGUAUGAAAACAAUGGAGAGAGAAGGGAGGAGACUAAAGAAGAAACAUAAUUAGGAUUAGAAAUAGAAAGAGGAAGGAGAAAAUGAGACGUGAGACUUGAGAGAGUUAUCUGAAAAUGAAGAAGGAAGUAGCAGAUUAGUUCUGUCCAUUUUGGGUCAGGAUUCAAAGGUGAAUUCAAUCCUAUUAGCUAUUUUGAUUUACAUUCUUGCUGUUAUGUUUAGCAUAAUUCUUUUCUAAGGGCUUAAGCUUAUGCACAGUUAAUGAUAUAUAAUGUCUGUUAAAACUGAAUUUAAGCAUAAGAAGAUGUUGAGAUGCUUAGCAACAUUAUCCUGCAAUUUUGGGUGUCCUUAGUAGUUCUUAGUUACUGUUUGGAUUAGAAUUCUUAUUUUGUUUUAACAACAGGAUAUCUGGAAGCUGUGUGCAGCAUGAAUUUAGUAAUCUGACAGUAAGUAGCAACCUCACAUAUUAGCUUGUAGGCAUUGGAGAAAGCUAGAACAAGUUUAUACAUGGUUAUAAUCCUUUAAUUAUCUUUGAGCAGUUAUAUCUUUUUAUUUUGACCUUCAUUUCAGAUUCUAUUUGCAUAUAUUGAAAGCUUAUAAUUUAGGCUAAAUAUCUGUCUAGUUUCGUGCAAUUUCAUUUAGAAUUCCUUUGUCAAGUUUGAAGUUGAAAAUAUAGCUGUACAUUCUGCGGAUCAGUUUUUCUGAGUUUUGGAGUCAGUCACUUUGUUUGAAAAGCUGUAUAUUUAGAUUGGUUAUCUUAAGUUGGUUUCUUCGUAAUAGCUGUAGCAGACAUUAAAUAUUGUUCCAGAACUUGAAUCACUUCAAAAGGAAUUGUUUAGAUUAAGAUAUGAUUUUUAAAAGUUGAGGGUCUGCAGUAAAAAAUUCUGCAGAUCAGUUUUCUGAGUUUUUGACUUUUUACUAAAAUCUGUGCAUUUCAGUUGAGUAUUUGAAGUUGUUGUCUUCAUAAAAGUUAUAGUACACAUGUUAUACAACAUUCCUGAAUUUGAAUCUCUUAAUAAGGAGUUUUGUAGAUUGAGUUAUGAUUUUCCGAAGUUGAGAGUCUGCAUCAGGAAACACUGCAUUUCUUAUUAUUUUACUGUUUGUUCCUUUUGAUUUCAAUGUAUUCUUUCAUUCAAACUAGUUUAGAUUCAUCACAAACUGGACACACACAUUCUCAACUUUCAAACAAAGCUUGUGAGUUUAUUUUCGAAAUUUAUUUGAGAUACUUAUGCCAUUUUGAAAUCAGCUAUGUGUAACAGUUUUUCUUCAAAAUAAAUCUACAUCACAUUUUGCUUAGUUAUCUAGCCCGUCAAAUGUUAUCUUAAUGGCCUGAGAUUUUAGGUACUAUGUUUUUGAGACUGCUUUAAAGUAAAGUAUGUUGUUAAGCCAUAUGAUAGCUUUGUGUUUAAAAUUAAAUGUGUGCUUGUGGAUUGGAUUGUGAAUUGUAUUCGAAUAUCUUUUUCUAUGCUAAAGUACAUACUAUUGUUACAUGAAGCAUAAAGUACGUACUAUUGUUUACAUGAGUUAGGCUUUACUAGGCUUUGUUGCUUAAGAUAGUUUAUGUAAGAUUAUCAAUUGUUCUCUGGUGAUCAAGUGAUGGAUGUGCAAAUUAGGAUUAUGAUCAAGUUAUUUGCAUAAUAUUUUGGUAAUGGAAAGUAGACUCGGAGGUUCUAGGUCGUUGUUGAUGUUGUGGAAUAGAUCAAAAUGUACGUACUAUGAGAAGUAGUUUCGGCAGAUCAUUUGGAGUACUAAACUUGUUACGGAGAAUUGUUGUUUUGAAGAGAUAUUUAAUAGUUUUGGAGCAACUUUUAUGGCAGAGAUGCAUGAGAGGAGAUGGGGCUUCAACAACUAGUCUGCAAGUACUUUUGGAUCAUUUAUAAAGACCAGGUGCAAGGUUAUUAGGAGUUAAAUUAAGGUUCUCCUAGCAACAUGUUACCAUAUUUUGCGAUAAACAGGCUUUAUUGUUGGUAAAUACUGGGGAUCACAAUAGUAAGAAGUUUGAGGAGUAGGAUUGGGUGUAUUGAGGAUAGUUUGAGAUUCUUGACUCUGGUGCAGUAUGAGAAGAUGAAAUGCAUUUUCGUGCAUUAUGUUCAACAGAAAUCAUUUGGCUGAGUUGAGAGAUUUACAAUUUUCAAGUUCUCUUUGGUAGGUAAUAGGUAUAGAAGUUUUUGAGAUAUUUUAGAGGAUUUAGUUUAUUUUUAGCAAGUGAUUCAUAGGAGAGAAUUAUGGAAGGAAGAAAGUCUAUGCUAGGAGAGUUGAGAUCAGAUAUGGAAUGCAAGCUGUUAAUUUUAGCAUAUUUGGACAGAGUAAGAGUUAUUUAAGUCAUGAAUCCCUCAUCUACGGUUAGUGGAAAUAGACAAGUGAAUGAUGUUGUCCGAAUAUCGCAAUUGAGGAUUUGGAAACUAGAGAUGUGUGGCUGGCUGAAGUCAUGUACAAGUCAUAAUUUUUAGAUUUAAGGUUUUAUACAUUUCGGGGACAGAAUUUCUUUAUGGAGUAGAGAGAAGAAAGUAAGUGAGGAUUAGGAGUACGAAAGAAGUAAGAAAACAAAGGGGAGACUAAAGAAGAAACAGAAUUAGGAUUAGAAAUAGAAAGAGGAAGGGGAAACAUGAGACGUGAGACUUGAGAGAGUUAUCUGAAAAUGAAGAAGGAAGUAGCAGAUUAGUUCUGUCCAUUUUGUGUCAGGAUUCAAAG
rnacentral:lncRNA from 1 species